rnacentral:tRNA from 1 species
AUUCAUUUAGUAUAAUUAGUAUUUUAAGCUUCCAACUUAAAGGUUUUAAUAAAAUUGAAUA